rnacentral:rRNA from 1 species
UACAGAGGGGGCAAGCGUUGUUCGGAAUUACUGGGCGUAAAGGGCGCGUAGGCGGCCUGUUAAGUCGAACGUGAAAUCCCCGGGCUCAACCCGGGAACUGCGUCCGAUACUGGCAGGCUUGAAUUCGGGAGAGGGAUGUGGAAUUCCAGGUGUAGCGGUGAAAUGCGUAGAUAUCGGGAGGAACACCAGUGGCGAAGGCGACUUCCUGGCCUGUUCUUGACGCUGAGGCGCGAAAGCUAGGGGAGCAAACGGG